rnacentral:pre_miRNA from 1 species
GGGAAAGCGCCAGAUCCUGGGCUGUGUCCCCUGGCGACCUGAGCUCCUGGGCCUGCACUGCUGGAUUGGCGCUCCUCGCUGCGCAGCCUCCU